AGAGUUUGAUCCUGGCUCAGGAUGAACGCUGGCGGCAUGCCUAAUACAUGCAAGUCGAACGGACCGAAGGGAAAGCUUGCUUUUCCUGAAGUCAGUGGCGAACGGGUGAGUAACACGUAGGUAACCUGCCCAUGUGCCCGGGACAACGCCUGGAAACGGGUGCUAAAACCGGAUAGGUAGAGAGAUCGCAUGAACUUUCUAUUAAAGGGGCUACGGCCCUGAACAUGGAUGGACCUGCGGUGCAUUAGCUAGUUGGUGAGGUAACGGCCCACCAAGGCGACGAUGCAUAGCCGACCUGAGAGGGCGAACGGCCACAUUGGGACUGAGACACGGCCCAAACUCCUACGGGAGGCAGCAGUAGGGAAUUUUCGUCAAUGGGGGGAACCCUGAACGAGCAAUGCCGCGUGAGUGAAGACGGUCUUCGGAUUGUAAAGCUCUGUUGCGAGAGAAAAACGACACGGAUAGGGAAUGAUCCGUGGGUGAUGGUAUCUCGCCAGAAAGUCACGGCUAACUACGUGCCAGCAGCCGCGGUAAUACGUAGGUGGCGAGCGUUAUCCGGAAUUAUUGGGCGUAAAGAGGGAGCAGGCGGCACUAAGGGUCUGUGGUGAAAGAUCGAAGCUUAACUUCGGUAAGCCAUGGAAACCGUAGAGCUAGAGUGUGUGAGAGGAUCGUGGAAUUCCAUGUGUAGCGGUGAAAUGCGUAGAUAUAUGGAGGAACACCAGUGGCGAAGGCGACGAUCUGGCGCAUAACUGACGCUCAGUCCCGAAAGCGUGGGGAGCAAAUAGGAUUAGAUACCCUAGUAGUCCACGCCGUAAACGAUGAGUACUAAGUGUUGGGUGUCAAAGCUCAGUGCUGCAGUUAACGCAAUAAGUACUCCGCCUGAGUAGUACGUUCGCAAGAAUGAAACUCAAAGGAAUUGACGGGGGCCCGCACAAGCGGUGGAGCAUGUGGUUUAAUUCGAAGCAACGCGAAGAACCUUA
rnacentral:rRNA from 1 species